rnacentral:rRNA from 1 species
GAUGAACGCUGGCGGCGUGCCUAAUACAUGCAAGUCGAGCGAACGGACGAGAAGCUUGCUUUUCUGAUGUUAGCGGCGGACGGGUGAGUAACACGUGGAUAACCUACCUAUAAGACUGGGAUAACUUCGGGAAACCGGAGCUAAUACCGGAUAAUAUUUUGAACCGCAUGGUUCAUAAGUGAAAGACGGUCUUGCUGUCACUUAUAGAUGGAUCCGCGCUGCAUUAGCUAGUUGGUAAGGUAACGGCUUACCAAGGCAACGAUGCAUAGCCGACCUGAGAGGGUGAUCGGCCACACUGGAGCUGAGACACGGUCCAGACUCCUACGGGAGGCAGCAGUAGGGAAUCUUCCGCAAUGGGCGAAAGCCUGACGGAGCAACGCCGCGUGAGUGAUGAAGGUCUUCGGAUCGUAAAACUCUGUUAUUAGGGAAGAACAUAUGUGUAAGUAACUGUGCACAUCUUGACGGUACCUAAUCAGAAAGCCACGGCUAACUACGUG